rnacentral:rRNA from 1 species
UACGGAGGGGGCAAGCGUUGUCCGGAUUUACUGGGCGUAAAGAGCGCGCAGGCGGUCGUUCAAGUCGCGUGUGAAAGCCCCCGGCUCAACUGGGGAGGGUCACGCGAUACUGAUCGACUCGAAGGCAGGAGAGGGUAGUGGAAUUCCCGGUGUAGUGGUGAAAUGCGUAGAUAUCGGGAGGAACACCAGUGGCGAAGGCGACUACCUGGCCUGUUCUUGACGCUGAGGCGCGAAAGCUAGGGGAGCAAACGGG